UUGAACGCUGGCGGCAUGCCUUACACAUGCAAGUCGAACGGCAGCACGGGGGCAACCCUGGUGGCGAGUGGCGAACGGGUGAGUAAUACAUCGGAACGUGCCCAGUAGUGGGGGAUAGCCCGGCGAAAGCCGGAUUAAUACCGCAUACGACCUACGGGUGAAAGCGGGGGAUCGCAAGACCUCGCGCUAUUGGAGCGGCCGAUGUCAGAUUAGGUUGUUGGUGAGGUAAAGGCUCACCAAGCCGACGAUCUGUAGCUGGUCUGAGAGGACGACCAGCCACACUGGGACUGAGACACGGCCCAGACUCCUACGGGAGGCAGCAGUGGGGAAUUUUGGACAAUGGGGGCAACCCUGAUCCAGCCAUGCCGCGUGCGGGAAGAAGGCCUUCGGGUUGUAAACCGCUUUUGUCAGGGAAGAAAUCUUUUGAGCUAAUACCUCAGAGGGAUGACGGUACCUGGAGAAUAAGCACCGGCUAACUACGU
rnacentral:rRNA from 1 species